rnacentral:rRNA from 1 species
AUGGCGAGGCCGUCCCUCUCCCUCCACCUGUGCCUGGCCGUCCUGGCCAUGGCCGCCGCCGCGUCCGAGGCCGGGUUCUACGACCAGUUCGACGUGGUCGGCUCCGGCAACAACGUGCGCGUGAACGACGACGGCCUGGCCCAGCAGGUGGCGCUCACGCUCGACCAGAGCAACGGCGGCUCCGGCUUCAGCUCCAAGGACAAGUACCUCUACGGCGAGUUCAGCGUCCAGAUGAAGCUCAUCGGCGGCAACUCCGCCGGCACCGUCACCUCCUUCUACCUGACGUCCGGGGAGGGCGACGGGCACGACGAGAUCGACAUCGAGUUCAUGGGCAACCUCAGCGGCGACCCCUAUGUGAUGAACACCAACGUGUGGGCCAGCGGCGACGGCAAGAAGGAGCACCAGUUCUACCUCUGGUUCGACCCCACCGCCGACUUCCACACCUACAAGAUCGUCUGGAACCCCAAGAACAUCAUAUUCCAGGUGGACGACGUGCCGGUGAGGACCUUCAAGAAGUACGACGACCUGCCGUACCCGAGCAGCCAGCCCAUGACGGUGCACGCCACGCUCUGGGACGGCAGCUACUGGGCCACCCGCCACGGCGACGUCAAGAUCGACUGGAGCCAGGCGCCCUUCGUCGUCAACUACCGCGGCUACUCCUCCAAUGGCUGCGUCAGCAACGGCGGCUCGUCGGCGUGCCCCGCCGGCAGCGACGCGUGGAUGAACACAGAGCUCGACGGCAAGGCCCUCGGCACCGUCGCCUGGGCCGAGAGCAAGUACAUGUCCUACGACUACUGCACCGACGGCUGGCGCUUCCCCAACGGCUUCCCCGCCGAGUGCAACCGCAACUGA